AUUGAACGCUGGCGGCAGGCCUAACACAUGCAAGUCGAACGGUAACAGGAAGAAGCUUGCUUCUUUGCUGACGAGUGGCGGACGGGUGAGUAAUGUCUGGGAAACUGCCUGAUGGAGGGGGAUAACUACUGGAAACGGUAGCUAAUACCGCAUAACGUCGCAAGACCAAAGAGGGGGACCUUCGGGCCUCUUGCCAUCGGAUGUGCCCAGAUGGGAUUAGCUAGUAGGUGGGGUAACGGCUCACCUAGGCGACGAUCCCUAGCUGGUCUGAGAGGAUGACCAGCCACACUGGAACUGAGACACGGUCCAGACUCCUACGGGAGGCAGCAGUGGGGAAUAUUGCACAAUGGGCGCAAGCCUGAUGCAGCCAUGCCGCGUGUAUGAAGAAGGCCUUCGGGUUGUAAAGCACUUUCAGCGGGGAGGAAGGGAGUAAAGUUAAUACCUUUGCUCAUUGACGUUACCCGCAGAAGAAGCACCGGCUAACUCCGUG
rnacentral:rRNA from 1 species